CCAUUCAAGAUUCUUGAGUUCUCUACAUUUUGUGUCGCAGACAUCUUGGGGGCUGGCUCCGAGAGAAGCGCUUGUGCCCCAGUGACGCCACUGACGCCAGUGCCUCGGUGACCUACAGCACCCCCUCUAAACACACACACACACACACACACACACUCACAUACUUACAUAGUAUAUGAAAAAGCUUAUACAGAACUUUACUUUAUGUACAUACACUUUUUUAUGGCCCCAUGAUACGCGUAUAGAAACGAUUUUGGGGCCGAGCAGAAAGCGAGUUGGAGUCUGAUGGACUGGCAUUCGCCAAUCUUGAUCCGUUGGCAUUAGACGCGUUCUGUUGUGCCACCGAGAUGGUGUUACUUCUACGAGUGUAUAGGAAUGUGCUGAUUGUGGUUGGUGGGGGAAAGAGGAGUGUGCAUGGCAUGUGUGUGUGUGUGAGUGUGUGUGUGUGCCCGCGUUUUUUUCUUAUCAGUUGUGCUGAUAAACCAGUUCCUGGAGAAUCUCAAUCUGGACCACGUAAGUAACGAUUUAAAGUCGAAAUUCCAUAGCUGGGGUGACAGAUGCCCAGAUGUCUCUCGGGGGUAACCAGAUCCCAUUAAAUGGUAAUAGCUAUUGGCUAUAUAAUUGCAUAAAAUUACAGAAACCUAUAGACUCUUAGCUGACUCUCUAAUUAGUCACUAAUACUAUGUGGGGAGCAGCUCAAGGUCUACGGGUUUCUGUUCCCAGACCCCCUACCCACCUCAUCUUCCCAGCUGAUGGAUUAGAAUUUUUAAGUUCAAAAGCUUAGCUUCCAAGGGGUAUUGGGAGAUCUCUGGGAGAUCUCCUGGAAGCUCCUCCUUCCAUUUGCCUUUAUAUCUUAUAAUUGAAAGAUUGUUUCGAAAGAGUUUGGGGGAAGAACUUAAAGAUUCGUGCCUGGAGCGCAUUAACUUUUAACCCAAAAAAAAAAAAUCUACAAAAAAACUCUACAAAAACAGAUUUUCUACAAAAAAGAGAGUCGAAAAUUAAACGAAAUCACAUGCAACACACGUCUCAGGUGGGCCAGAGCGAGAUGGCCAGAGAUCAAAGCAAAGAAGAGGUAGCUUUCUUUUCUGUUUUUAUUUGCUUCAUGGGGGGAUUUGUGGCUUUUUUUUUCUGAACAUAAAACAUAAAACGCAAUAAAAAAAAGAAACAAACAUUGUGGCGUCAUCGCCGAAAAUUUGUUCGCUUUCGAACUGGUUUUUUUUUUUGGUCUCUUUUGAUGUCGUCAUCAUCGCGAAGGCCCAAAAAAUUGAUGCAAUUUCCGCCCACCUUUCGGGCCCCCUCCAUCUACCCCCCUCCUCCUGGCCAGCGACGCCGCUGUUCCCGUUGCUUGGCAACUGCAGUAGAAAAAAAAAAAAAAGAAAGAGGAAGAUUCGCGCGCCAAUAACCUAGUUUUCUGUUUCUAGUUUGUACUUGCACACAAAGCGUUGCCACUAUGUUCGUGAGUUUGUGCAAUAAAAAAGAAGAAGAAGAAGUAAAAAAAGCUACAAAUAAUGUGCAUGUAUGUUCAUGUUUUUUUCUUAUGUAUGUAUGUGUAUGUAUGUAGUUGGUAAAUAGUUAGUGAUGACACACUUCUUCACACAUGUUAGCAGAGGAAAUAAACAUUACAGCGCAAUAACUAAUCAAACUAACCCACUUUCUAUACUAUAUUGUAGUAGCCAGCAUGCAGAUUUCUAAUUAGAUUCGAGUCGAGUUUAUCUCUUGUAAUUUAUCUGGGCUGGGGCAUAAAGUUGGCGACUUUACAUGGUUACGUGCCUGCGCUGCAAAACCAUUGCGUUUCAAUGGAAAAACAUCGAGAGGCGGAAAAUUUCAACCCAAAAGCCCGCUACAUGGCGACAAAGCGACAAGCUUCAAUGGAAAACGAACAAGAAAAAGUGACCAGCACUUGAAUGUGUGUCAGCGACAAGGCAGCAGCAGCAAGCAGCAGCAGCGGCGGCAAAGCUACAAAAAGCUUCGUAUCGCGUUCGUCGCUCGCACUCGUCGCGUUCGUAUAGCGCGUACCCUGUCGCUCGCGCGCGCGAACCUCCGCAGUCGACGACUCGGCCAGGGGCGCCGGAGUUCGGUGGAAGCACUUGGGCCCGAUUUUUCCGUUCUGCGUUUCAUUCGCCGCUCGACUGGCGGAGAGUGUGGUUCGUUUAGCGUAGAGCUGGGAAAACAUCGAUAGUUGGCAUAUUCGAGGUUUUCGAGGUUUUUCAUACAAAUAUUCGAUAGUAUCGAUAGUAUCGAACUAAAAAAAUUAUAAAUCAAGUUUAAGUUGCAUUUAGAGUAAAUAAUAAAAAAACUUCUUAAAGGCCAUUCUUUAUUCGAAUAACAAAACAUAACAAAAUCUCAUAAUCAUAUGAAGUCGCUUAUAACAAAGGAAGAAAUGAAAUAAUUCACAAAAGAUUCUUAUGAAUAGGUUUUGUUUCAUAAGGUUUUGUUUUGUUUGCAAGACGGCAAGUUGCAUGCACUGUAAUAAAGUUUCUUAUGAAGAUUCUUAUGAAUAGACGGCAAGUUGCAUGCACUGUAAUAGUUUCCGCUCGUUUUGUAAACUUUAUUACAGUGCAUGCAACUUGCCGUCUUGCCAUCUUGGGACUUUUUAAAGUGGUUCCACACUUUGGACUUCCCUAUUCGUUUCACCUGGUUUUCGUCCUCCUCCGACUUGCUCUUUGCACUUAUGCCUGUAAAAAGUUAUAUAUCAGAAAUUAGUUAUUGAGAAAGAGUCCAAAACAUGCUCAGAUAUGCACUAGUUUAGAUACCUACCUUUAUCGUAUUCGCCUUGCAAAAAUUUGUCCAUUUUCUCCGCCAACACCAAUAUUAACUUUCACGUGUAGAUCUCCGCAGUUGUUCGCCAAAAGUAAAGAUGUGCAAGCUUGCCACUAUCGUUUACUAUCGGCACUCAAACAUCGAUAGUGGUUCGCAAACCCAAAUAUUCGAUAUAUCGAUACUAUCGUGAGUGGCCGACCCAGCUCUAGUUUAGCGCUUGGCACAACUUGGUGAAAACUGAAAAAGAGAAAAAAAAAAACUAUAAACUGAAAACACAAAAACUCAUUUUUGAAAUUGAAACACAAAAACGGGAAAUCCAAAGGAGAGCAAACACUAUAAGAGAGAGAACGCUGUUGCUAACGUCGAAAAUAGUCGUUGAACAGUGGCGCGACGGUCGAUUUUGGUGGUGGUUUUUUCGGCAGUGAACUUUUCCUGUAACAAUAAAUCAUUUUGGAAUAGAAAUACCCAACCGGACUUCUGAAACAUAGAAUCUUAACGAAAAAAAAAAAAAAAUAAACUACACGCGGAUUACGUAAAAGAGCAGGAAUUUCAAGGAGAACCACGCGAAAAGAGGGAGACAGCAUCAGGAACUUGGCACGCGGACGCGCCGCUGGAUGACACAUUUCUUUUUUCCGAAUCAAUUACGCAACUUGCAAAUAGCUCCUCUGCCCUGCUGCCCCGCUGUUCCGUGUUUCUAAGGCCCUCUGGGCUUGUGCUUUUCAUUAUCGGAACGACAGACGGCAAGUUGGAGAGAAAAAAAAUAUUAAAAAAAAAAUCCCACAAAUACAUAUUUUUUCAACCAAAUUCGAGAGAAGACCAAGAGAGUGGGAGAGCGAGAGCGAGAGAGAGCCAAAAGCUCGGCCGACGUCAUAUUUUUUAUGGAACACACAGACGCGCGCGCGCACGCACACACACACAUACAGUUAGUCGCUUUCGUCGUCAAGUUUGCGUUUCCUUGGUUUCGAUGUGGCUGGCUUCGUUCAUUCGAUUUCCACCAUGAACCGGGAAGGUCUGUACGGACCGGGAGGAUGGUGGAAGAUUACCAAACGAACAAAUAAAAAAAAAUAAAUGUUGGCCGCGUUUUUUUCCCGCUCGCGUCUCGCGUGUUUUCGUCGUGGCUUGGUUUGCCCGUCCGUUUAGCCGCUCUCUCUCUCUCUUUCGCGCAAAAUCUAAUGGAAUUUUUUCGCCUGCUUGUGCAAUUGCUGGCCUAGCUGGCUAGCUGACUGGCCGCGCGAAUGCGAAUCGUGUGAUUAGUGGACUAGUUUUCAUUAACGUACUGCAACCUAUGUGGGAGCGAGACGGGGACUCACUGUGCUUAUUAAAUAGUCAGUCUUUUUCUCUCUCCUAUACAAAUUGCGGGCGUAUCAACAUGUCGACAACGUUAAUAAUAGUUCAUGUGCCUAUUCUUAAGCUGCCAUAUCUAAUAUAUAUAUAUAUAUUAUAGUAUGUAAUCGCCAGGAGAAAAAAAAAAAAUGAAAUUGAUAUGAAAAAUUGAAAUAAAUAAAUUCUUCUCCAUCUCUCUUCCCAUCAGCAGCCAUUCAACUGAAACCGUUCGUUGCGCCCUGGCUCAUGGCCUUUCUUUUCUUUUUUUCCAGUUCUCUCAUGACUUUAUUACACGUUUUAUCAUUCCACACGCAUCACUGGUGCUGCCACUGCCGCUGCCGCUGUUCUUCUGUCUCUAUCGCACACAUACACUUUGACCCAAGGCUCCCCCUCGAUGGGUUUUUGUUGUUCUCGCACGCAAAGUUAGUGGGGGUAGUGUGGGAGUGCGAGUGGGAGGGAGGGAGGUAGUUGGGGUGGUUAUAAAAGGGGAGAACCGUUACGACAGCGCGUGGUUGUUGGUGGACUUUUCUGUCUGUUGCCAAGAGUCGACGUUGUAGUCGCUGUCGCUGUCGCUGUCGACGUCGCUGAAUGAUGUGUUCUGUUUUAUGGACAAGAAUGAAACUGUACAAUAAGCACAGUACAGUGGGUAGAAAUACAACAAAAGCGAAACUUACGUAAACACGCACGACCGACCAACCGAUCGACUGUGCUAGUGUGUGUGCGUGUGAAUUAUGUUUCUAGUUUUUCGAAAAAAAAAAGGAGAAGUAGAAAAUCAAGUUUCUAUCGCCGGAAUGGACGGGUGGGGGUAUGAAUCAUAUUUCGAAGAACGAGACACUCGUAGACUUUCAAAUACAGCGCACAGAGAGACCCAACUUGAACAUAAACAAUCUCCACUAUUUGUCAUGGGUUUUUUUUUGUUAUUUUUUUCUUUUUGUCGCUGGCAUCCGUCAACCGACAUGACUAAGAGACUCAAAAACCCAAAAAAAAAAAUAUAUAUCUUUUCUAGAGAAAAGCUGCAAUUUAUUGCAAUUGCGCUGGUGGUGCAAUGCGAGCACUGAAAUUAUUUUCAAAAUAUUAUAUAAAUUGGCUUUUCUGCUAGGGGCUAGAGGGGUUGGACGGCUCGACUGUUAGGUUGUUCAGGUGUGCUCAUUACCUGAGGCAUUCAGUUGGAAAUUGUAUAUAUAUUUGCAUAGUGCUACGGAAGGGAGGGUGUUCCGAGAGGGAAAAAAACAUAUACCUAAAAUACAUACAAUUGCAUGUUUAACAAAAAAAUAUCUCUCUCGAUUAGAGAUAUUAUAUUUUUUAAACAAUGUCCGAAGUAAUUGCGUUCGCAGAACAAUUUUCUGAGUGGACCUUGGAAAUCCACACAAUAACUAUACCCCAUGUAUAAUUUAUUUUUAUUUGUAUUCUUUUUUUUUUUUUUUUUUGCAUUUUGUAACUUUGAAUUUGCGGUUCGGAGUCGAACUUUUGUAUCGCACAUUCCAUCUCCCUCGCUCUCACAGGGCUUUUCUAUCUAACAACUGCAGCAGCAGCAGCACCAGCAGCAGCUGACCUUGGAGCCGAGACAAAGGCGCUAACUCGCAAACAGAUCUUUAUGUACAUACUAUAUGUACCUACACUAUGUACAGUCCAAUUUACAUAUAUAUAUAUAAGACAUUGAAGCUUCUCUAAGCCUCUGUUUUUAAACUAGAGAGAUAUUACUUCCCAGGUUAUUAAAAAAAAACUGAGAGGGAAGGCAAUAAAUAUCAUUAUUUACAAAAAGAUUAGAAAUUAUCUUCAUGUGAAUAUUUCUUCAGUCAAUAUUUUCGAAGAAACAACAAUUCCCAGUAAGAGAAGAUAAUAAAUUCUAUUCUGGGUGUGGGCUUUUUACAUGUUUUUUCCCUUUUAACCUUUGAAAUCAUCGUAAUAAGUCGAUAGUUAAUAAAAAUACAAAAAAUAAUAAACUAUUGUUUCAAUGUGGGUUGUAGUGGUUACUCAUUAGCGGGUCGGGGUCUAGUCGGGUCCCUCCCAACCCCUUUCUCCGCUCGUAGUAAUCCGGAUUGUCGAGCUCAGAUGACGCCAUCUUGCAUUAGAACCAACCGAUAGUUUAGAGAUGGGGGAAAAUUGAGCUUAGCACUUGAUCUUUGGCCCUGGUUCUGUAAUUAUACUCGUGUCCUUCAGGUCUAGUCCCUCCCAACCCCUUUUUCCCCUCGUAAAAAUUUGGAUAGUCGAGCUCAGAUGACGCCAUCAUGCAUUUGAUGAUCUUUGAAAGCUAGUGUUAGAUCCAACCGAUAGUUUAGAGAUGGGGGAGAAUCGAGCUUAGCACUUGAUCUCUGGCCCCCGGUUCUGUAAUUAUAUUCCUGUCCUUCAGGCCCGUUGCAACGCUUUAUUUUCUGUUCUACUGCUCACAUCUUGGCAUUUAAUAAGAAGUUGGCCUUGAAGCGGCGAGUUUCAAAUUUGUGUGUGGCUUCAGAACUCACACACACACACACUACGAGUGUGUGCGAGAAAUGAGUUUGUGGCUUAGCUUUCAGUCUUUCGACGAUUGGAGCUUUCAGAUUUUUGGGUCUUUGAAGCCAUGGUUGUUGCAACAAGGUUGCCUUAAUCCAGGCACCAGCCUCAUUAUGCUCUGGACAUGUCGCCCCAAAUUAGAGGACACAUGUGGCACAUGUUUCGUGUUGUAAGUGCCACCGAUCCAACAUCGAUCCACGCUAAUUGCCAUUAAUCAGAGGCCUUCCAUCUGACAUCUCAUCUCAUACAUCUCUCCGGUUCAGCCAGCAAUUAUCAGGCUGCACUCUUGACCGACCAGCACCGCACUUGAAGAUCUCCCUGACUAAGUUAGCCGCAAGCCAGAUACCGCAACCACCCGACCCACUAUACACCCCGCCAGCUAUACCAUCCCACGACAGUGAACCACAUGACAUGCGAAGCGGUUCCAAUUUAUCGCCAGCGGCAGUACUUGCCAGAGAAUGCUUGCCAGUCAUUGGAAAAGCGAUUCAACAAAAUUUAAAACAAUUUAGCUUAUGUCACGUCUGUUCUCCGCCAAGAGGGUGGGAGGGGGGGUGGCCUGGGGGGCGGGGGCGGUGCUAGAAGAGUUUCCAACGCUUAGAACAAAGCGCCACAAAUUGUAUUGUGUCACGCUCGAUCUGUGGCCAUGUGAACCGACGGGGAUAUAAGCCACACACUUACUAUAUAUCAUCUACUAUAUAUCGGAUAUCUCGUAUAUACUCUUCAAAGUGUGUACUUUUACUCAUUCAUACCGAUAUGUACCACUCUGGUAUAUAGUCAUGUACAUGCUAUAUAUAAAUUAGUUCAUUUAGUUUGCCUGUUUUAAUUAUAA